GAAGGGGGCUAGCGUUGCUCGGAAUUACUGGGCGUAAAGGGAGCGUAGGCGGAUAGUUCAGUCAGAGGUGAAAGCCCAGGGCUCAACCUUGGAACUGCCUUUGAUACUGGCUAUCUUGAGUUUGGGAGAGGUGUGUGGAACUCCGAGUGUAGAGGUGAAAUUCGUAGAUAUUCGGAAGAACACCAGUGGCGAAGGCGACACACUGGCCCAAUACUGACGCUGAGGCUCGAAAGCGUGGGGAGCAAACAGGAUUAGAUACCCUGGUAGUCCACGCUGUAAACGAUGAGUGCUAGUUGUCGGCAUGCAUGCAUGUCGGUGACGCAGCUAACGCAUUAAGCACUCCGCCUGGGGAGUACGGUCGCAAGAUUA
rnacentral:rRNA from 1 species